UAGGGAAUCUUCGGCAAUGGACGAAAGUCUGACCGAGCAACGCCGCGUGAGUGAAGAAGGUUUUCGGAUCGUAAAACUCUGUUGUUAGAGAAGAACAAGGACGUUAGUAACUGAACGUCCCCUGACGGUAUCUAACCAGAAAGCCACGGCUAACUACGUGCCAGCAGCCGCGGUAAUACGUAGGUGGCAAGCGUUGUCCGGACUUAUUGGGCGUAAAGCGAGCGCAGGCGGUUUCUUAAGUCUGAUGUGAAAGCCCCCGGCUCAACCGGGGAGGGUCAUUGGAAACUGGGAGACUUGAGUGCAGAAGGGGAGAGUGGAAUUCCAUGUGUAGCGGUGAAAUGCGUAGAUAUAUGAAGGAACACCAGUGGCGAAGGCGGCUCUCUGGUCUGUAACUGACGCUGAGGCUAGAAAGCGUGGGGAGCAAACAGG
rnacentral:rRNA from 1 species